AAUCAGUACGUAGUUGUAGACCCGAAACCGAGUGACCUAUCCAUGGUCAGGUUGAAGGUGGGGUAAUACCUACUGGAGGACCGAACAAGUGGGUGUUAAAAAACCCUUUGAUGAACUGUGGAUAGCGGUGAAAUUCCAAUCGAACUCGGAGAUAGCUGGUUCUAUCCGAAAUACAUUUAGGUGUAGCCUUGCAAUUAGCUUACUGGAGGUAGAGCACUAUUUGGUCUAGGGGCCCUUCAAGGGUUACCAAAAUCAGAUAAACUCCGAAUGCCAGCUAAGUAUGUGCAGGAGUCAGACGGUGAGUGAUAAGAUCCAUCGUCGAAAGGGGAACAGCCCAGAUCACCAGUUAAGGUCCCUAAAUAUAUGCUAAGUGGAAAACGUUGUGAAGGUGCAUAGACAACUAGGAGGUUGGCUCAGAAGCAGCCACCCUUUAAAGAGUGCGUAAUAGCUCACUAGUCGAGUGCUCUUGCGCGGAUAAUGUACCGGGGCUAAGCAUAUUACCGAAACUGUGGAUGCGUAAGCAUGGUAGGAUAGCGUAAUUAACGCGAUGAAGGAUGACCGUAAGGACAUGUUGGAGCGUUAACUAGUGAGAAUUCCGGUAUGAGUAGCGAAAGAUAGGUGAGAAUCCUAUCCACCGAAUGAGUAAGGUUUCCCCCGGAAGGCUCGUCCGCGGGGGGUUAGUCGGGACCUAAGGCGAGGCUGAAAAGCGUAGUCGAUGGACAACAGGUUGAUAUUCCUGUACCGAUAUUUAAUUGCCGAAGGAAGGACGCAGAAGGAUAACACAGGCCACUAUUGGAUGUGGUUUUAAACAGUUAGUCUUCAUAAGAGUCAAAUGCUUUUAUGUUUAAGGAUAAGCUGUGAAUGUACCAAGUUUACUUGGAAAUUGUGUGAUUUCACGCUGCUGAAAAAAGUUUCGUAGGAAGAAAAUAUUGCCCGUACCGCAAACCGACACAGGUACUCGAGUGGAGAACACUAAGGUGAGCGAGUGAACUAUUGUUAAGGAACUCUGCAAAAUGAGUCCGUAACUUCGGAAGAAGGACUGCUGGUUUUAUACCAGCCGCAGCAAAUAGGCCCAAAC
rnacentral:rRNA from 1 species